AUUUCCUGUGUCACCGUUAUUGGCUUCCUAAUAGUUACAAGUAAUAAAUAUUACUAUGAAAUUCUUGGGAGGGCCUGGGCCCCAUCGGCUCCCCAGUUCCAUCAACUAUAAACAAUAUAUCAGUAUAUCACUAAUAUGAAAUUUAGAGGCUUGUGUAUUAUACUAACGAUUAUAUAAUGAACAGCAGAUGUGCUUCACUUUUUAUUGAAGGAUAAAUUUAUAAUGCAGAACAUAGGAAAUAAUAAGAAUUGGUUUUUGCCGUAGAUAAGUUAUAUACUAUACAUAUAUAAAAUAAUCUAUUUGGUAAUAAUUCAUAUUAUAUUGAAUAUUUGGAUAAAUUAUAAUUAAACUUAAAAAUGGCCGAUUUGCUUUUUUCCUCUUAUUUUUUCACUCCCUCCAGUAUAAAAAUUCUAAUUGUGCAUUGAGGCAUCUUAUUCGUAUCAUUGUCCUUGUUUUGGCAAAGAGAUUCAGAACAGCCUUGUCAUACUUGCCUCCAACGAUCUAAUAGAGAAAAAGGCCAUACAUUUUGGGUUAUUUUUAAGGUUCAAAGCUGUUUUAAUCCCUCAGUGUUGAUGAUAGAGAUAAAUGAUGAUACUGGCUAAAAGCUGAUGAGUACGUCCAAUUUUUGGACACCAAAAUUCUCCCAUGGAUCAAAUCCAUUGUUGGAAAUUCUCCUUGGGUAUUCCAACAAGAUGGAGCACCUGCACACACUACAAAGAACCCUCAAGAGUGGCUCCAGAC
rnacentral:lncRNA from 1 species